GAUGAACGCUGGCGGCGUGCCUAAUACAUGCAAGUCGAGCGAACAGACGAGGAGCUUGCUCCUCUGACGUUAGCGGCGGACGGGUGAGUAACACGUGGAUAACCUACCUAUAAGACUGGGAUAACUUCGGGAAACCGGAGCUAAUACCGGAUAAUAUAUUGAACCGCAUGGUUCAAUAGUGAAAGACGGUUUUGCUGUCACUUAUAGAUGUAUCCGCGCCGCAUUAGCUAGUUGGUAAGGUAACGGCUUACCAAGGCAACGAUGCGUAGCCGACCUGAGAGGGUGAUCGGCCACACUGGAACUUAGACACGGUCCAGCCCCCUACGCGAGGCCGCAGUACGGCCUCUUACGCAUAGGGCGAAGGCCUGACGGAGCAACGACGAGCGAGUCACGACGGUCUUCGGAUCGUAACACUCUCUUAUUGGGGACGCACCAAUGUGUAAGUACCUAUGCACGUCUUGACGGUACCUAAUCACAAAGCGACGGCUAACUACGUG
rnacentral:rRNA from 1 species